rnacentral:rRNA from 1 species
UACGUAGGGUGCGAGCGUUGCCCGGAUUUACUGGGCGUAAAGGGCGCGUAGGCGGCGUGACAAGUCACUUGUGAAAUCUCCGGGCUUAACUCGGAACGGCCAAGUGAAACUGUCAUGCUAGAGUGCAGAAGGGGCAAUCGGAAUUCUUGGUGUAGCGGUGAAAUGCGUAGAUAUCAAGAGGAACACCUGAGGUGAAGACGGGUUGCUGGGCUGACACUGACGCUGAGGCGCGAAAGCCAGGGGAGCAAACGGG